GCGGCGGACGGGUGAGUAAUGUCUGGGAAACUGCCUGAUGGAGGGGGAUAACUACUGGAAACGGUAGCUAAUACCGCAUAACGUCGCAAGACCAAAGAGGGGGACCUUCGGGCCUCUUGCCAUCGGAUGUGCCCAGAUGGGAUUAGCUAGUAGGUGGGGUAACGGCUCACCUAGGCGACGAUCCCUAGCUGGUCUGAGAGGAUGACCAGCCACACUGGAACUGAGACACGGUCCAAACUCCUACGGGAAGGCAGCAUG
rnacentral:rRNA from 1 species